rnacentral:rRNA from 1 species
UGCCAGCCGCCGCGGUAAGACGUAGGGGGCGAGCGUUGUCCGGAAUUACUGGGCGUAAAGAGCACGUAGGCGGGUGAAUAAGUCAGGUGUGAAAGACCGGAGCUCAACUUCGGGGUUGCAUCUGAUACUGUUCAUCUUGAGGGCAGGAGAGGGCAGUAGAAUUCCUGGUGUAGCGGUGAAAUGCGUAGAAAUCAGGAGGAAUACCGGUGGCGAAGGCGGCUGCCUGGACUGACCCUGACGCUGAGGUGCGAAAGCGUGGGGAGCAAACAGGAUUAGAUA